GGAUCAGCCCUGAAGAUCCCACGGAGGCCAGGCGGCUCCGAUGGUCGGCCUCCCAAUAUGUGAUCAUGGAAGGCCGACUCUACAAAAGGUCGUUCUCCCUUCCCUUGCUCAGGUGCUUGGGAUCGACCGAUGCAGAUUAUGCUCUCCGAGAAGUGCAUGAAGGAAUCUGCGGGAGUCACUUGGGGGCAAAUCCCUAGCCUACAAAGUCCUACGACAGGGUUACUACUGGCC
rnacentral:lncRNA from 1 species